rnacentral:rRNA from 1 species
AUUGAACGCUGGCGGAAUGCUUUACACAUGCAAGUCGAACGGCAGCACGGACUUCGGUCUGGUGGCGAGUGGCGAACGGGUGAGUAAUACAUCGGAACGUGCCCAAUCGUGGGGGAUAACGUAGCGAAAGCUACGCUAAUACCGCAUACGAUCUAAGGAUGAAAGCGGGGGAUCGCAAGACCUCGCGCGAUUGGCGCGGCCGAUGGCAGAUUAGGUAGGUGGUAGGGUAAAGGCCUACCAAGCCGACGAUCUGUAGCUGGUCUGAGAGGAUGAUCAGCCACACUGGGACUGAGACACGGCCCAGACUCCUACGGGAGGCAGCAGUGGGGAAUUUUGGACAAUGGACGCAAGUCUGAUCCAGCCAUUCCGCGUGCAGGAUGAAGGCCCUCGGGUUGUAAACUGCUUUUGUACAGAACGAAAAGGCUCUGGUUAAUACCUAGGGCUCAUGACGGUACUGUAAGAAUAAGCACCGGCUAACUACGUGCCAGCCGCCGCGGUAA